GAUUAGGUUAAAUUCCUUUAUUAAAACUAGUGACUCUCAGAUUAAAUAAAAAGAUAAUAUAACCAAAAGCUAUCUUUAGGAGUCUUUGUAUACCAAAAUUACACAGAAAGGAAGAAAAUAAAAGAAUAGGCUGGAGAUAGACUAGUUCUAAAAAGCAUAGCAUUAAAUGUGAAGAGAAAUUAUGGAUGAGACAUAAAAUAAUAUAUACAUAAGCCAAACAAGAAGAUUCAAUAAUGAUGAAACUGUAUUUACUGAACUUUUAGUGUUGAAUUAAAGGAAAAUCUGUUAAGAAUAUAAGAAAAAGAAAUCAAUUAAAAAAUUUAAAAAACAAAAUUUUCCAUAAUUAUAGUGGGAGAGAUUAACAAAAUGCUUUGAGAAUUUUAUCAAGAAGGCGAAAUUAAGUAGGAACAGAAGAUUUUGAAUAACAUCGUUAUCAUUAUUAACCUAACUCAACAAGUAAAUCUACAUUUAUUUUUUAAAAAAGACUAUGGGUCAUUUACAAAAACUGACUACAAAGAAACUUUUAAUCUCAAAAGCAGAUGCGCUGGCUAUUAUAAGAACAUAGCAUUGAAAGUUAACAUGAGAGGGCUCCUUCCCCCACCUCCAUUCAAGUACUUGGAAACUAAACUGCAAUCCUUUUAAAUAAUUCUUGGAUGAAAAAGGAAAUCGCUGCUGUAACCAUAGAUGAUGAUGAUGAUUAUUAUUGUCUUUUUAGGGUCACACUUGUGGCAUAUGGAAGUUCCCAGCCUAGGGGUUGAAUCAGAGCUGCAGCUGCCAGCCUAACAUCACAGCCACAGCAAGACCGGAUCCUUAACCCACUGAGCAAGGCCAGGGAUCGAACCCAUGUCCUCAUGGAUACUAGUUGGGUUCUUAACCUGCUGAGCCACAAUAGGAACUCCCCAUAAACUGUUUUUAAAUGGACAGUGAGAAUAUAUUGCAUUGAACUGUGUGGGAUUGGACCAAAAAUAUAGUUAGAUUUAAAGGACUGAAAAGAAAAUAAGUUUGUAAUUUAAUUUUUAUUUUUUAAAUUUUAUUGAAGUGCAGUUGAUUUCCAAUGUGUUAAUUUUUGCUGUACAGCAAAGUGAUUCAAUUAUAUAUAUUUCCUUUUUCAUUCUCUUUUCCAUUAUGGUUUAUCACAGGAUAUUGAAUAUAGUUUCCUGUGCUAUACAGUAGGACCAUCCUAUAUAUAAUGGUUUGCAUCUACUAAUCUCAAACUCUUAAUCCUUCCCUGCUUGGCAUCCACAAGUCUAUUGAUGAGUCUGAUUCUAUUUCCUAGUUAUGCUCAUUUGUAUUGUAUUUUAUUUUUGGUCUUUUCCGCGUNACCGCAUCUUCUUUAUCCAUUCAUUUGUUGGUGGACAUUUAGGUUGCUUCCAUGUCUUGACUAUUGUAAAUAGUAGUGUUAUGAAUGUAGGGCUAUAUGUAUCUUCUCAAAUUAUAGUUCUUUUUUUUUCUUUUUAGGGC
rnacentral:lncRNA from 1 species